rnacentral:rRNA from 1 species
GACAACGCUGGCGGCGUGCUUAACACAUGCAAGUCAAGGGGGCCCGCAAGGGGCAACCGGCGAACGGGUGCGUAACACGUGAGCAACCUGCCUUAGUGUGGGGGAUAGCCGGCCCAACGGCCGGGUAAUACCGCAUACGAUUCUUGAGCGGAGUCGCUUGAGAAGGAAACCUUCGGGGCACUGAGAGGGGCUCGCGGCCUAUCAGCUAGUUGGCGGGGUAAUGGCCCACCAAGGCGACGACGGGUAGCUGGUCUGAGAGGAUGGCCAGCCACAUUGGGACUGAGAGACGGCCCAGACUCCUACGGGAGGCAGCAGUGGGGAAUCUUGCGCAAUGGCCGAAAGGCUGACGCAGCGACGCCGCGUGUGGGAUGACGCCUUUCGGGGUGUAAACCACUGUUGCCCGGGACGAAACUGGCUUUUCGAGGCCAUUGACGGUACCGGGUGAGGAAGCACCGGCUAACUCUGUGCCAGCAGCCGCGGUAAUACAGAGGGUGCGAGCGUUGUCCGGAAUCACUGGGCGUAAAGGGCGCGUAGGCGGCCUGGCAAGUCGGUGGUGAAAGCUCGGGGCUUAACUCCGAGUCGGCCAUCGAUACUGCGAAGGCUUCGAA